CUGGCGCCGUGCUAACACAUGCACGUCGAGCGGUCCGGCACUCAACGUAGUUGUUUGGCGGAUAGCGGCGGACGGGUGAGUAACGCGUGGGCAACCUACCCUUAAGACCGGGAUAGCACCUCGAAAGGGGUGGUAAUACUGGAUAAGCUCCUUAUAGGGCAUCCUAUAGGGAGGAAAGGGAGGCGCAAGCUACCGCUUAAGGAUGGGCCCGCGUCCCAUCAGCUAGUUGGUAGGGUAACGGCCUACCAAGGCGACGACGGGUAGCCGGCCUGAGAGGGUGGUCGGCCACACUGGGACUGAGACACGGCCCAGACUCCUACGGGAGGCAGCAGUGGGGAAUCUUGGGCAAUGGGCGGAAGCCUGACCCAGCGACGCCGCGUGGGGGAGGAAGGCCUUCGGGUUGUAAACCCCGUUAGUGUGGGAAGAAGGGAUGACGGNNCCACACCAAAGCCCCGGNUAACUACGUGCCANCAGCCACGGUAAGACUANGGGGCAGCCUANGNCCGGAAUUACUGGGNCGC
rnacentral:rRNA from 1 species